AAACAAGUGGGCUUCAGCCCGCGAGAGCGUGAGAGAAGGCGAGAGAGUCUGAGAAACCAAGAGAGUGAGAACGAAACCCUAAACCUCUUCUUCUUCAAUUUUUUUUUUCUCCUUUUUAGUUGGUAGCAUUGUGUCGUGAAAGCAACAGGUGCCAGUGUUCUUGUGAGAUGUUAAGUAUGAGUCAUUGAUUUAACAAGGUGGCUUGUAGAUUUUGAGUGUUGCUUUCACUUAAUACUAGUUGAAGGGAGCUGAAUAGUGAAUACAAGACAGAUGGUUCACAUGGCAGCAUCAUUAAGGGGGGUUCAUAAACUUGUAUCCUCCUCCCGGAUUGAAAAACUAGUUUCCCUUUCACGUUCUAAACAGCAUCUGCCACUGUGGGUUGAGAUUGUGCGCCAUUUUAGCUUUACCGAUGAUUUCAGUGGCAGAAGCAAAUAUGCUACUGGGGAACGUGAUGAUUUGCUUCGUCAACAGCCAGACUCAAGUUUUGAAGACAAUGGUACCAACCGAAACCAUGAGGCAUAUAAUGUUGAACAGGGAUUGUCAAAUUCAAUUCCAAGUAGACCUUUGAGAAGUAGGAAGCCAAUUAAUCAGCCUCCUCCACGUUUUCGAGAAUCAGGGAGAGGUUCCUUUCCUCCAAGAUUUGAUGAUAGCCAUGGUGCGCCUGGUGCUUUGGACAACUCAAAUAAAUCUUCCAAAAUUGAUCUUGCAUUUCAGGGCACGAAUGUGGCAGAAACAAAUAGGGACUUGGGGCAAUCAGGAGACAGUUUCCUUGACAAAUUCAAGCUUGCUUUUGAUGACAAAACAGUGAAUCAGUCAGAGGUUGCAGCAAGCACGCAAUCUGAAGAAGCAAAGUGGUCAGAUUCCAAUCCAAAGGCUCAAGAGCCUGUGCCACAAGAUGCCGAUGAGAUAUUCAAAAAGAUGAAGGAGACUGGCCUUAUCCCUAAUGCUGUGGCUAUGCUCGAUGGUCUAUGUAAAGAUGGUCUGGUUCAAGAAGCCUUGAAACUUUUUGGUUUGAUGCGGGAGAAGGGGACCAUUCCAGAGAUUGUCAUAUACACAGCAGUAGUGGAGGGAUACACAAAGGUCGACAAGGCUGAUGAUGCGAAAAGGAUUUUCAGGAAAAUGCAGAGUAGUGGCAUUUCUCCCAACGCUUUCAGUUAUACAGUCCUUAUACAAGGACUCUACAAGUGUAGAAGAUUACAGGAUGCUUUUGAAUUUUGUGUGGAGAUGUUAGAAGCGGGCCACUCACCAAAUGUGACAACUUUUGUGGGCCUGGUGGAUGGUUUCUGCAAGGAAAAAGGGGUUGAAGAAGCUAAGGAUGCUAUCAAAACAUUAACUAAAAAGGGUUUUGCUUUUGAUGAGAAAGCUGUUAGGCAGUUUUUGGACAAGAAAACACCAUUUUCACCCUCUGUUUGGGAGGCGAUUUUUGGGAAGAAAGCCCCGCAGAGACCAUUUUAACUAUUUUUCAUACCAUCAGUUAACUGAAUCUGUUACGGAGAUCUAACUGUUUCAUCAGACUAAGUAGGAUCUGACUCCUAUAUGGAAUGUAUACAAGAACCCUUAUCAGGAAGCAAGAAGUAGAAGCUGUGAUCUAAGGAGACAGACUUGACCGAUUUGUGAUGAAUCAAGAAACGCAAUAGUGUUUCCUAUCUGAUGCUGUGGCGAUCGUGGCGUAAUCAUUCAACGAGAAAAUAGGGAUCAGCUCCUGUUCUUGUGGCUCCUUGCUUUACUUUUAGAGUAUCUCGCUUGUGUUGUUUGUUGAACACUUUUGGUAGCUUUGGGGUAAGAUACACUGAUACAUCAUUCUUUCGAAUUCCAAAAUUUUGUGCUAAGUUCAUCAGUUCUGAACUGUAAAACACAAAGAGAGGCUCCUACUCUGUUUCUGAAUUCUUGUUGCGGAUCAAGGCUCUGUUUGAUUCCUUUGAUCUUCGUGGGUUUUCUUGUACUACCUCAUGGACACACUGAUGUGAUCUUGGAUGGAUUACUGAGGUAGUUUGAUGCUUGUUAUGACAUUCAUCAACAGUAGAAGUGAACCUCAUUAAUAGCAAUCUCUCAAAUUGAGUUUCUA